CUGAGCAUCAGCUGCCGGCUGCAGAAGAGAGAGCAGGUGGACAAACCAGACGGGGUCAUGAAACAUGAGAAUAUUGAAGGAUAAAACUGACCUGUUGGACACCACAUUCUGAGUGUUUGUGCAACUGGAGGCUUCAAGUUUCUACAUCACACUCAUCAGAUGGAUGAAAACAAACUCUGCUCAUACAUCAUUCUGCACAGAGAAGAAGAACAAACAUCCAGCUGAAGGAACAAGAAGAGAAAUGACUUUAAUGAGGGAAUGAGAAGAAGUAGAUGCCAUUUUAAGGAUUUUAAAGUAAUUAUAUUUUGUUAUUUUGUGUUUUUAUAUGUCUUAAUAGAUGUCUGGAGGAUCUUUAAGAUAUUUUAUUAACUUGUAUGUGUCAAAGUGAAACAGUAAAUUCUCACAUUUAAGAAGCUGAACUAGAGAAUUUUUUGUAUUUUUGCCUGAAA